rnacentral:sRNA from 1 species
GGAGAUUGAAGAAAAAACAUAAAACUUUAAAAAAUGAUGCCAAUUCAGGUCUACCUUUAUUGCCUAAAGUUUUUGCCCACAUUCAUUAUAUCCUAUAUUCAAAAUGCAAGAUAGGUACACUAUCUAAAAAUACAGUAUUCUGUGGAAUGCUGAGAUUGGUGGGUCUUAACCUGUUUGCCUUUGGUAUAAGUGCUUUCUGAGACUUGCAGCUGAGCUGAUGACUAGAGUUGAGUCAGUGGGUAAGGGCUGGUUUCAUAGGAGGUGAAUAGUUAGUGUAUGGAGCCCUGGUACUGUGUGUAGGUCCAGAGGAAGGCAGGGAGCUUAUCUUCACCCAGGAUAUCCAAGGGACUGAUAAACAUCACCUUGUAGUGCAAGCACUAUAGACCUGACAUAUCACUAUGAAAUUUGUGAUUUUUAACUUGAAUGUGGCUGCUGGUAUUGUAGUUCUUCUGCACAGCACUGUAGAGGCAGGAAGGAGGGUGAGUCUGCUCUGAACACUUGAGCACCAGCAAAAGGUUGGGUGAUGGUCAAAGUUUUACCCAAGUAAAACUGCAAGACAGAACUUGAUGUCACAAAUUCAAUGAAGGAAUUAGGACGAGACAUGCAUAUUCUUGGUUUGUUCCAAUUUCCAAUGGGUCAUGAAUGCUGAAUUCUGAUGGCAAUAGGAGGAGAUGAAAAAGGGCCGGGCGCAGUGGCCCACGCCUGUAAUCCCAGCACUUUGGGAGGCCGAGGCGGGCGGAUCACGAGGUCAGGAGAUCGAGACCAUCCUGGCUAACACGGGGAAACCCCGUCUCUACUAAAAAUACAAAAAAUGAGCCGGGCGUGGUGGCGGGCGCCUGUAGUCCCAGCUACUUGGGAGGCUGAGGCAGGAGAAUGGCGUGAACCCAGGAGUCAGAGCUUGCAGUGAGCCGAGAUCCCGCCACUGCACUCCAGCCUCGGAGACAGAGCAAGACUCUGUCUCAAGAAAAAAAAAAAAGAAAAAGGAGUAGAUGAAAAAGAAGCAUGCCCUAAAGAUCAUCAAGUAAACCUGUCUUGAAUAUGUGUAGCAGUUUUCACUGUUUUGGAUUUUAAAAUGUUUUAAGUUUUAUUUUUAAUCGACAAGUCAUUGUAUUGCAUUUGUGGAAUACAGUGUGAUGCUUUACAGGUAUAUAAUGUGAAAUUAUUAGAUCAAGCUAAUUAACAUCUUUCAUUUUUUUCAGUGGUAAUACAUUUGAAAUUUGCUGCUUCAAUAUAUAUUAUUGACUGUAAUCACCCUGUUGUGCAGUAGAUCUCAAAAUUUAUUCCUUGAGUUUAGCCGCAGCCUUCUACCCAUUCUCUUUCCCACCUUCCCCAGCACCCCACCCUCAUCCUCUGAUAACCAUCAUUCUGUUCUCUACUUCUAGGAGUUCAACUUAAGAUUUUACCUAUAAGUGAGAUCAUGUAAUGUUUGUCUUUCUGUGCCUGGUUUAUUUUAUUUGGCAUAAUGUCCUCUAAGAUCCAUCCACAUUGUCCCAUACGACAGAAUUUUGUUCUUUUUAAAGGCCGGAUAGUAUAAUGUGUCUAUACUACAUUGUCUUCAUCCACUGAUGAAUACUUCUCAAUUGAUUUUGUAUUUUGGCUAUUGUAAAUAAUGCUGCAGUGAACAUGGAAGUACAGAUAUCCCAUUGAGAUACUGAUUUCAGUUCCUUUUGUUAUAUUCCCGGAAGUGGGUUUGCUGGAUCAUAUGGUAAUUCUAUUUUUAGUUUUUCGAGGAACCUCUAUACCGUUUUCCAUGGUGGCUGUACUAAUUUACAUUCCCAGCAACGGUGUAGAAGAGUUCUCUGCAUUGUUGCCAACACUGAUCUUUCAUCUAUUUGAGAAAAUCCAUUCUAGCAGGUGUGAGGUAAUCUCAUUGUGGUUUUAAUUUGCAUUUCCCUAAUGGUUAGUGAUGCUGAACGUUGUUUGCAUGAACCUGGUAUGUCUUCUUUUGAGAAGCAUUUUCACAAGCCAUUGGUGAAGUAUGUGGCUCACCACCACCCAUACUCCAGCCCUGUUUCCAGUCACUGGUACCUAGAGGGUGAGAGUGAGGCUGCUCAUCACAUGUUCUCCAAGUCAUAAGGUGCUGCCCUCCCACUCACAAUACUUGGUGAUUGAGUGAUGUUUUCCACUUAAAGACAGUGAUAGCUGUAUCACCACAGUUAAUAGAUGUCUGGUGUGUCCCAGUCACAGAGAUAAUACAAAUGUGAGGAAAUAAUGCUGGUGCAUGAAAGCAUUGGAGACCAUUUGUAAGAAUGCCAUUUGGUAGUUAAAGUGAACAUGAAAAUUGUUUAGUUUUUCUUGGUUUCAUAAACAUUUUUUCUUCCUGUAGAACUGAUAAAUUUCAAACGGAAGAGAGUGGCAGCAUUUAGAAAGAAUCUAAUUGAAAUGUCUGAACUGGAAAUAAAACAUGCCAGGGUAAGUGUUUUCUACAAAUGAAGCCAACAUCUUUUAUGGUUUUUUUUCCAAGUUAUUUCCCAAUUUACUAACCCAUUGUCAUCAGGCAGUUGGGGUGGCCUUCUGGUAUUAAUCCUAUGUAGUACUUAGUUGAUGGGAGCCACUCAUUGUUUAUUUGUAGUCUUUAUAAUGUCACCCAUGACUAAUUUUUAGCAACUUUUUCUUUUUUUAAUAGAGAUGGGGUUUCACCAUUUUGGCCAGGCUGGACUUGAACUCCUGACCUCAGGCGAUCCACCUGCCUUGGCCUCCCAAAGUGCUGGGAUUACAGGUGUCAGCUACGGCUCCCAGCCCUAAUUUCUAGCAACUUUUAUUCAAUUUUUCCAAGGCCCUCGCCUUCAUAGAACAACACACUGAUAGUGUCUAGGAAGUUACAGUAAGCAGGACCACAUUUAGGAGCAAGCAGGUGAGGGCAGAGGUGCUGAAGUGAACGUCAGCUCUUUGGCUGAUAGCCUUACCCACUGAGAGAGAGGAGCUGAAACAUGAAAUUGGGAUGCAUGGUACGUUGCAGUUCACCUGGGAUUUAAUGAAGAGAAGGGCCAGCUUGCUCUGGCUGACUAAAUCUCCCUUGAAAAGCUGUGUUGGUGUACUUGAGUCAUUACAGGUAUAUGGCAAGUUUUAAUAAUUCAUCGGUCUGCCUUGACUUUUUUCCCCACAGAACAAUGUCUCCCUUUUGCAGAGCUGUAUUGACUUGUUCAAGAAUAACUGAUAUGCCUUCACUCAGAAGAAAAGAAAUGAAUGUGAAAGAAAGCCAAGCAUCACUUGCACUUAAAUCAUUACCACGGAAGAUAUAUUAGCUUCAACUUUAGUUUAAAAUUAUGUGAAUAAAUAUUUUGAUUUCUACAAAUCUUAACAUUUAACCAUGUUGGUUUAAAAAUAUUAUUGCUUGCUACUUGGACAUAACUAAAUUUUCCUUGUGCAUUUAAUACCUCUGGGCAGAAUCUAAAUACUGGGUUCUCCCGUAGUUCGUCUUUAGUUACUAAGAAAGGGUGUAGGAGACAUUUGCCUUCUGGAAACAAGUAGAAGCAAUCACCUGGCCCAUGUCCCUACAAACCCAUGAUUGUCAGGGAGGUGCCAGUUACAGCAGGUGAUUCAGCUACUUGAGGCCGGUAACAGACCUUCCAUUCCUCACUGAAGGUGGGGUUUGUGUUUUUGUUUUGCCCUGUUACUCCACUGGUAGUCCUCUGGUGUUUGUACUAUAACAACAGCAAGAAAAUCUCAUUUAUCUUUAUAUACUCUUUGCACCUCCUUUUUUUAGUCAAGAUAUAAAUAUUUGAGAGGAGAGAAAUAUCUACGGGUAUAUAUGGAAACAAAUAAUGUGGUCUGCUUUAUAAGAUGGCCAGAUCUACAUUAGGAAAAGUAUGAGCCCCCUCCCUAGUGGCCGUUGGAGGGGUGAGGGGGGUAUGGUGUAUGUCUUUGGGCAUUUGUUUUUUAUAAAGCAUAUAAUAAAAUAAUCGUGCUACUAA